GAGUUCACCAGUCACUUUGUAGGAAGUCCUUCAUUGGAAAUUGGAGCCGUCUGUUAGUGUGGAAACUGCACAGGAACCACAGCGAGGCGUAGCAGGUAAAACAGCUAUCUGGAUGAAGGUGUUUGACAGAUAUGCAAAAAACAAAAGAAAAAAGAAAAUAAAGAAGAUUCAUUGAGCUGUGAAAGUGAGACUGAGGAAGAAAAA